rnacentral:rRNA from 1 species
UACGUAGGGGGCGAGCGUUGUCCGGAUUCAUUGGGCGUAAAGAGCUCGUAGGCGGUUUGGCAAGUCGGGUGUGAAAUCUCUGGGCUCAACUCAGAGAGGCCACUCGAUACUGCUAUGACUAGAGUCCGGUAGGGGACCAUGGAAUUCCUGGUGUAGCGGUGAAAUGCGUAGAGAUGUGGAGGAACACCGAUGGCGAAGGCAGCCCCCUGGGCUGAGAUUGACGCUCAGGCACGAAAGCGUGGGGAGCAAACAGG